rnacentral:rRNA from 1 species
UACGAAGGGGGCUAGCGUUGCUCGGAAUUACUGGGCGUAAAGGGAGCGUAGGCGGAUAGUUUAGUCAGAGGUGAAAGCCCAGGGCUCAGCCUUGGAAUUGCCUUUGAUACUGGCUAUCUUGAGUACGGAAGAGGUAUGUGGAACUCCGAGUGUAGAGGUGAAAUUCGUAGAUAUUCGGAAGAACACCAGUGGCGAAGGCGACAUACUGGUCCGUUACUGACGCUGAGGCUCGAAAGCGUGGGGAGCAAACAGG